GCUGUUAAUGUCUAUUACUGAGUUUCUAGAAGCAGCCUAGACCUAGUGUGAAGUAAAGUCCUCUGAAAUGCUGAUAGGUGAAACACAAGGUCCUCAGCACCACCUGUUUGACUCUGCAGAGCACUCCUACUGAGCUGUACUAUUUGGAAGUACAGACAUAGUAGCUCUACUAAGAACUACGAGAUGUGACUGCCAGAGCUAGAACAGCUUGGACUUGGGACUAACCUCACAAUGAAUUUUCUUGUGUUUAGUAGGUUUGAUUGGAUUCAGUCUCUGGCCAUUUAAAAACUGCCAUAUAAUCAAUAUAGAAGCUGAAAUACUGAAGGAGACUGAUGAGAAAAGAUUCUUGCUUUUCACACAUGGAAGGAAUAUUUUGGAUCUUCAGAAUAUGGAAAACUUUUCUUCCAAACUGAUAGAAUAACAUGUGCUUGUGAGAAGAAAAAGAAUGUGCAUGUCUGAAUUGAUUGAAUGCAUGCUUCAGGGAACACUGAAGAAAUUAAGGAUGGUUCAUUCCAAUAAAAUUACAGUGAUAAGAGACUGGCUUCAAAUCAGAAUGGGUCACAAGUGAAAUGAGUUUGGUGGUGUUUGCUAAUCCUUUUAGAUAUUUAUCCCCACUUCAGUCUCCUUGUAAGAUUUGAUGGAACUCAGCCUUACUGUUUGUCUCCAGUCAGUAGUGUCCUAAAAAUGAAAUUAUAGGUUGUUUCAUCCAAGUGCUAAGAUGGUGAGGUAGGCUGAUUGCAGAAGUAUUCACACCAUGCCUUUCUUCCUAUGUUGUUUUUGCAUGUAGACAGUAUUAUAAAAUAAUCAUUUUCAUGUGUCAUAAAUUCACCAUCCCUAUACAAUAAGUAUUUUUUCUCCAAGAUAUGAGUUAAUUUAAGUGGUCUUACUUCUUAGUAGUCAUUGUUCUAAACACUUGGAUGCUAUGUGCACUAUGCUUUCCUGAAUUCGUU